rnacentral:rRNA from 1 species
UACGUAGGGGGCAAGCGUUGUCCGGAAUCAUUGGGCGUAAAGAGCGUGUAGGCGGCCCGAUAAGUCCGCUGUGAAAGUCCAGGGCUCAACCCUGGGAUGCCGGUGGAUACUGUCGGGCUCGAGUCCGGAAGAGGAGUGUGGAAUUCCUGGUGUAGCGGUGAAAUGCGCGGAUAUCAGGAGGAACACCGAUAGCGAAGGCAGCUCGCUGGGACGUAACUGACGCUGAGACGCGAAAGCGUGGGGAGCAAACAGG